UACGUAGGGAGCAAGCGUUGUCCGGAUUUAUUGGGCGUAAAGCGCACGCAGGCGGUUUAGUCAGUCUCUACUGACAGUGUCCGGCUCAACCGGGCAAGUGGUAGGGAAACUGCUAAACUUGAGGGCUUCAGAGGGAUGGGGAACUCCAGGUGGAGUGGUGAAAUGCGUAGAUAUCAAGAGGAACACCAGUGGCGAAGGCGAGUCCCUGGACGAUACCUGACACUGAGGCACGAAAGCCAAGGGAGCAAACAGG
rnacentral:rRNA from 1 species